UACGUAGGGGGCAAGCGUUGUCCGGAUUUAUUGGGCGUAAAGAGCGUGUAGGCGGCCAGAUAGGUCCGUUGUGAAAACUCGAGGCUCAACCUCGAGACGCCGAUGGAAACCAUUUGGCUAGAGUCCGGAAGAGGAGAGUGGAAUUCCUGGUGUAGCGGUGAAAUGCGCAGAUAUCAGGAAGAACACCCGUGGCUAAGGCGGCUCUCUAGUACGGUACUGACGCUGAGGAGCGAAAGCGUGGGGAGCGAACAGG
rnacentral:rRNA from 1 species